rnacentral:lncRNA from 1 species
CGACUGGGCCCUUAUCUCCACCACUCUGGCCAAAACGGAACUAUUACAAGAGAAGGAGGGAGACACAACAGAGUAAGACAGAAAAGGGUCAAACUUCUGGCUAAUUCUGAGAACAAGGCUUCAGAGACACAAUGGAUAUCACCAUGAGGUCUAAGAGUAACCAGGAUUGACUCACAGGCAGCAUGACUGAGGUUCCAGGAGGUCCAGGGACUCCAUCAGCUCCAGGCAGACCAGGCUUACCAGAAGGACCCUGCAGGGAGGAGAGACGGAGGGGAUCACCAACAGAGCCAGGAGGUCCAGAGGAGCCAGCGGGGCCAGUGGGACCCUGGAGGAGAA